UAUCAGGAUCAGUUCCUUGCUUACACCAAAUUCUUGCACCCUGAACACACCUGAUCUCGGGAGCUAAGCAAGGUCAGGCCUGGUUAAUAAUUGGAUGGGAGACCUCCUGGGAAUAUUGGGUGCUGUGGUUU
rnacentral:rRNA from 1 species